rnacentral:misc_RNA from 1 species
GAUGAAUAACGCAGCGAAAUGCGAUAAGUAAUGUGAAUUGCAGAAUUCAGUGAAUCAUCGAAUCUUUGAACGCACAUUGCGCCCGCCAGUAUUCUGGCGGGCAUGCCUGUUCGAGCGUCAUUUCAACCAUCAAGCCCCCGGCUUGUGUUGGGGACCUGCGGCUGCCGCAGGCCCUGAAAACCAGUGGCGGGCUCGCUAGUCACUCCGAGCGUAGUAAUACAUCUCGCUCAGGGCGUGCUGCGGGUUCCGGCCGUUAAAAAGCCUUAUUUACCCAAGGUUGACCUCGGAUCAGGUAGGAAGACCCGCUGAACUUAAGCAUAUCAAUAAGCGGAGGA